rnacentral:rRNA from 1 species
UACGGGGGGGGCAAGCGUUGUUCGGAAUUACUGGGCGUAAAGGGCUCGUAGGCGGCCAACUAAGUCAGACGUGAAAUCCCUCGGCUUAACCGGGGAACUGCGUCUGAUACUGGAUGGCUUGAAUCCGGGAGAGGGAUGCGGAAUUCCAGGUGCAGCGGUGAAAUGCGUAGAUAUCUGGAGGAACACCGGUGGCGAAGGCGGCAUCCUGGACCGGCAUUGACGCUGAGGAGCGAAAGCCAGGGGAGCAAACGGG